rnacentral:piRNA from 1 species
GGGGGCCCGAGGUGGGAUCCCGAG